UGUAAAGUGCCUGAAUAAAGGUUAAUUUUGAUAGAAUUAAAAAAGUAUACUUAUAAUACCUUUACAA
rnacentral:tRNA from 1 species